AAGCUAAUGACAGUGAUAAAGUAAAGAGAAGAGGAGAGGAAAAGACCAAGCUUCAGUUGUAUUUAUCAGAGUGAACGCUUCCUCAUGUAGCUAUCAAGUUAGCAGUGAAGUUGGAGGACGGCACCAAAAUUUAUGGAUCCUGUUCUGCUGAUCAUUCGAUAAAGGCUUGUGAUGCAUACAACAUUAUUGCAGUAACAAUUGCACAUAUACCCUAUUUUACAAAUAUUACUUAAAUGUACCACUUUUUUUGUUGCAAUUUGUUUACCAGUAUGUUUUGCUCACACAGAAGUCAAAACUUUCUUUAAAUUAUGCACUGGAGCAGUUCCAAUGGAGGUAAUGCAGCCUGAUGAGAAGUCUUUAACUCAGUACGAUUUGAGAGUAUCAUCACUGCUACUAUUAGAAGAAACUCCCUCUCAUGAUGAAGACAAAUGAAUUGAUGAAUUAACUCUUUGUAAAGAAGCUGAAAUUAUUUAGGAAGUCAAGGGCAACAUUUCAUCUAC